GUGCCAGCCGCCGCGGUAAUACGUAGGGGGCAAGCGCUGUCCGGAUUCACUGGGCGUAAAGGGUGUGCAGGCGGUCUGGCGUGUCGAUGGUGAAAGCUCCCGGCUCAACCGGGAAAGUGCUGUCGAAACUACCAGACUUGAGGACGGAAGAGGAAACUGGAACUUCUGGUGUAGCGGUAAAAUGCGUAGAUAUCAGAAGGAACGCCGAUAGCGAAGGCAGGUUUCUGGGACGUUCCUGACGCUGAAACACGAAAGCUAGGGGAGCAAACAGGAUUAGAAACCCCCGUAGUCC
rnacentral:rRNA from 1 species